rnacentral:rRNA from 1 species
CCUACGGGAGGCAGCAGUGGGGAAUAUUGCGCAAUGGGCGAAAGCCUGACGCAGCGACGCCGCGUGAGGGAUGAAGGUCUUCGGAUCGUAAACCUCUGUCAGCAGGGAAGAACGGUCACUGUGCUAAUCAGCAGUGAAUUGACGGUACCUGCAAAGGAAGCACCGGCUAACUCCGUGCCAGCAGCCGCGGUAAUACGGAGGGUGCGAGCGUUAAUCGGAAUUACUGGGCGUAAAGCGCUCGUAGGCGGUAUGUCAAGUCAAGGGUGAAAGCCCCGGGCUCAACGUGGGAACUGCAUUUGAAACUGGCAAACUGGAGUGUGUGAGAGGAGAGUGGAAGUCCAGGUGUAGGAGUGAAAUCCGUAGAUAUCUGGAGGAACAUCAGUGGCGAAGGCGACUAUCUGGCACAUAACUGACGCUGAGGAGCGAAAGCGUGGGUAGCAAACAGGAUUAGAUACCCUUGUAGUC